GACAGGUUUUUCUCUUAGACUUUUCAACUACUUCUCUUAUUGCUGGACCACUCAGGUUUAUCAUAUUUUCUCUACACCAGGCACCAACUGACCCCAUGGAGGCCAGCCAUAUGCCAUCGAUAUGAAAGGAUUUGAAAAGCUCCGCCUUUGGUAGCAAGAGCACCAACGGAACCUGAACAG